AGUGAACGCUGGCGGCGUGCUUAACACAUGCAAGUCGAACGAGAACGGAAUAUAGCUUGCUAUAUUUGUCAGCUAAGUGGCGCACGGGUGAGUAAUGUAUAGAUAACCUGCCCUUAAGAGAGGAAUAACAGUUGGAAACGACUGCUAAUGCCCUAUGUGCCUUUAAUACAUAAGUAUGCAAGGGAAACGCUUUAGUGCUUAAGGAUGGGUCUGUAUGGUAUCAGCUUGUUGGUGAGGUAAUGGCUCACCAAGGCUAUGACGCCUAACUGGUUUGAGAGGAUGAUCAGUCACACUGGAACUGAGACACGGUCCAGACUCCUACGGGAGGCAGCAGUGGGGAAUAUUGCACAAUGGACGAAAGUCUGAUGCAGCAACGCCGCGUGGAGGAUGACACAUCUCGGUGCGUAAACUCCUUUUAUAUAGGAAGAUAAUGACGGUACUAUAUGAAUAAGCACCGGCUAACUCCGUGCCAGCCGCCGCGGUAAUAC
rnacentral:rRNA from 1 species